rnacentral:rRNA from 1 species
AGUGAACGCUGGCGGUAGGCCUAACACAUGCAAGUCGAACGGCAGCACAGUAAGAGCUUGCUCUUACGGGUGGCGAGUGGCGGACGGGUGAGGAAUACAUCGGAAUCUACUUUUUCGUGGGGGAUAACGUAGGGAAACUUACGCUAAUACCGCAUACGACCUACGGGUGAAAGCAGGGGAUCUUCGGACCUUGCGCGAUUGAAUGAGCCGAUGUCGGAUUAGCUAGUUGGCGGGGUAAAGGCCCACCAAGGCGACGAUCCGUAGCUGGUCUGAGAGGAUGAUCAGCCAAACUGGAACUGAGACACGGUCCAGACGCCUAAGGGAGGCAGCAGUGGGGAAUAUUGGACAAUGGGCGCAAGCCUGAUCCAGCCAUACCGCGUGGGUGAAGAAGGCCUUCGGGUUGUAAAGCCCUUUUGUUGGGAAAGAAAAGCAGCAGGUUAAUACCCCGCUGUUCUGACGGUACCCAAAGAAUAAGCACCGGCUAACUUCGUG